UGAUUUUUAAUUUGCAGUCUUGAAAAUAUAACAAUUAUUUUUUUCUUUAGUAAUUUCCAUUUUUAGUUUUAAGAAAACAUCCAUUGGGCGUAUUCUACGCAGCCGGGCGCACGCUAAUUGACUAGGCCAGUUCCCCAAAGCCCUAACACGUCCAUUUAUCUUCAUUCUAUUUGCAGCUCUUUCACGCCGCCACUCCAGUUCUCCAACACCGGUGAGCCAUUCUCCAUUCCGAUAUCUCACGAUUUUAGAUCUAAUCGUUCAUUCAUCCAUUCAAUCGAUUUCGAGAUCUAAGGUUUUAUUUUAUAUUGCGUAUAUACAUUCCUUUUAGGCCGAUAUUAAGUGGAUUUGCUGAAAAAUUGUUCUAUGCAGGGUGUUUUGUUGCAUCAUUCACCAUCUGUUUUACCAUGUGAGUAUGAUUAUUCACCUUUCAAAACGCAUCUUCGUGCAUCUAUUAUCGUUUUUUUUUUUUGGAAAUUGGGAUUUGGUAUUUUUAUCCACACAAUGAACUUCAUGUUUGCUUUUGAAAUAAUUGUUACAUUAUUAAAAAUUAGUAUACUUUCUGAGCGGUAAAUUUGUUAUUGGUUUACUGGUUAGAGCACGAUAAUGUAGCUUUUACUGAAUGAAAUUAUUUUUAAGUGCAAGAUACAAGGUUUAAGGUGUAGAAGUUGAUGAUAUGGUUUAGUAAUGUUGCCCCUUUCUGGUUAUGGAAUAAUGUCUUAAUGGAUUCAGGGAUUAUACUUUGCUAUGGCACAUUGCCAUAGGCCUCAAACAAUGAAACCUCCAGGGCUUUUUCUAGUAUUGGCAAUCUCCAUCAGAAUCCCCCCGUGAUUUGAGUCUGGGCUUUGAUUGGGACUUCCCGUGUUUCCAGUAAUCUGUCUCUUAGAAUAAUCAAGUCCAGUACUGGUUUAAAAAAGUUAUGUUGUAGAAGGGUUAUAUGAACUAUGGACUUAAAUGUUAAAAGAGAAAAGAAAGGUUAAGCUUCUACUAAGACUCUAAGAGGCUUGACCUAACUUCUGAAUAAAUUGAUUUCUCACGUUUCAAAUAACCAAGUUUGCAGCAUAUCUUGCUUAUUUUUGGCUAAAACUAUUCAACAUUUCAGAGAAAUAUUAAUUAAUACGCAGGCUACCAACCGAGCCUUCUGCUUACUUUUUGGUUGGGUAUCAAUUGCUAUAAAACGACCUCGUAUUUUAUCUUUGUUACCUUUCCUCAAUAAUGAGAAACAAUUUGAAAGAACCCAGUCUAUUUAUAAGUACCCUCACCUCUUGUGCAAACUUGAUUUGUGAAUCUAGGUCGGACGAUGAGCCUGUAGAUCCAAAGCAAGAACUUGAAGAGCGAUGCAAGGCACCAUGUACGAGACCACUUAAAGAAUAUCAGGUGAUUUAGACUGACUGGAUAUAAACUCUCAUUUUUUUUUUUUUUUUUCUAAUUUGUGUCUGUUCUGUCCAUUUUUCUAGUUUUCUGCCUUUUGUGUUCUUUUCGCCCUAUAGCUAGUAUUGCUAAAGCCUAAAUGAAAUGUUCAAUGCAUUUAAAUUUUUCAUUUUACAAUCUGAUUGGAUUCUUAAACUCCUUAUGGAGUAGAGAAAUGCAGUUUAGUACCAAUAAAAUAAUUGUGCACUAGACAAACAUCUACAGAUCUACUUUCCUAUUCCUAUUCCAUUAUGACGCUUAUUGUGACCUUGAUAUUUAAAUCGAAUGUUCAUCACCUCUAGCAAUUGAGGAUUACUACUAGAAAUGCAUGUGUGAGAUACGUGAUCCACACCUUUUUAUGCCAAGGUGAACAAUACCUACUUAGUAGAAAGCCUUGAAGAAAUUAAAUUUCUCAUGGAAAAUUACUCUGACCGCCAAAAGUAUGACAUCAGUAGCUGGGAGGAAGGGAGUUGGCUUCAAUCACAUUAAGAAACUAUUUUUAUGAACUUUUUCCGCCUUUCUUGGAUUAAUUAUAACAGAUACUCAAUCUUUUAAUUACACAGGUACCCUUGAUUGUGACAUUCAUUUAUGUUAUGUGAGCUGUCUAAUGUUAUUGGGUAUAAUGCUAGCAAAUGGUGUGGUGAGAUAUGGCCCCCGUUUGAUCCCCAUUAAAUUCAAUUACAUUACAUUCAAUUUUUCUCUCUCCUAUUUUCAACCACACAAUCUUCCAUAAAAUAAUAUUAUACGUAAAUCGAAAAUUUUUCCUUCUUUUUCAACCACUCAUUUUUCUAAAAAAUACUAUUCCCCCCAUUUUCAUUUUCAGGUAAUGGGGGUCAAACGGGGAUUGGGUUAGAAUUUAUUCAAUCAAAUAAUAAUUAAAAAAAAGCUUCCUUACAUCUGUAUAUAAACCAUUAUAUACAAGUAGUGUCUUUUUAUUUUUUUUUAUUUUAUCAUUUUGUCUUUGAAAUCUAUCAAAAAUCUUGUUAAUGACAGUUAAUACUAUUGAAAUGUAUAGCUGUAUCAAGAGAUAGUAAUGAUAUUUGAUCAUAAGAAAGUGAAAUAUAUUUAUAUAUGUUCUGUGAUUAUGUUCAAUUAUUCAUUAAGGACGUUUACUCGCUAGAACAUGAUAAAAGUUGAAUAUAUUUGUUAAAAGGUAGCUCUGAGUUAAUGUUAUUAAGGAAUUACAUGUCAGAUCGGGUCAACAUACAUAAAAUGUAACUCAGGUAUAAUGGAGCGAGUUUUAAUUAUGGUACACUCCUUGUAAAUGGGUAAAUUUAACUAGGAAAAGUUUCUAAUGGAAAGCCAUUAAUGAUCAUUUUAUGCUUAUUCCUCUGGAGGAGUUGUAUUCAGAAUUUAAUCUUUUGUGGGCGGUGUACUAGUAUUCUGACAUGUUGCAGUAUUUGUGAAUUAAUAUCCUUGAUUUCAUUGACAUUUAUGGAUAUUUUGGGCUUUCUCCAUGCAACUCCACCCACUUCAAAUCAUCUUGCAAUUUGUUUGCGUCCUCUUCUUGUUCAGAUUUGAUUCCGUACUGGCAACCACUGUUUAACUCUUCUGUGCACAUCAAACAGAUUGACAGAAAAUAAUUAUUUUGAUGGGAGAGAAUAGAGCUCAAGAAGCUCAAUUUAAUGUUGAAUUGCUUUGGUUAAUUUUGUUUAAGUUGGGUGAUUGUAAUUUUGGACCUAAGAAUCUUUGAAAUUUCCACUUUGUAGUGUAUUUUGAAAGAAAAGAGAUGGUAGUAUUACUAGCUACAAGCAAUUGAGUGUGAAAACAGGACCUUUGGAAGGAUUUUAUUUUAUUUUAUUUUUUUGGGCGCCUGAUGAACUUAAAUUAACCUUAAUGUAAAUAUGAGCUUUAUAUCAUAUCUUGUUAUUAGGGUGGGCGUGGGUUGGGUUUUGUCCCAACCCAACACGAUUGGUUUGAUUAGCAUUCAACCCAUCCCAACCCAUGUAAAGAUUGAAACCCAACCCCACCGAAUGUUGGUCGGGUCGGGUCGGGUUGGGUUGGUGGGUUCGGGACAACCUAUCAACAAAUAUUAAAGUUGCCAAAAUACUAAAUUAAAGCAUCAUUAAUAUAGUCUUUCAAUAUUAAUGAAUUUCAAAUAUAAAAUACUAUAGUUUAUAGGGCUGUCAAUGAAUUGGAUUUUGAUCUGAAUCUGAUAAUCUGCUAACUAAAUGAAUCAAAUAUGGAUAUAGGUCAACCCAAUCUACCAACAAUCUAAUCUGAUUUAUUAUAAUAAUAUAUUAUAUUUUUUAUAUUAUCGCAUAAUUUAUAACACUGUUUUUUCCAUUUUGAAAUUUGUAUCACACUUUAUAUCUAAUUUUUAAAUAAUAUAUAGUAUUAUAUAAUAGUAUAAUAUUUUUAAUUGAAAAUUUUGAAGAGAUUUAAUUUUUUAUUAAUUAAAAUAAAAUAAAACUAAUAAUUAAUUUAUUGAUUAGAUUUACUAUAGUAAUUUGUUUUAUAACAUAAAAAACUAACAAUUAAUAUGUCCCAAAUAAUUUACUUUGUUCAAAUUGAUAUAUUUGUAAUUAAAAUCUCAGGCUAUGAUUUUUAAUGAAAAUAAUAAAGUAAUUAGUAAAUAUUUAGAAUUAACAAAUGAUUAUGAUUAGUAUUCCACAUUGAAAGAUCACUAAAUCAUUAGAAAAUGAAAAUCCUUUAAAAAGCUAGUAUCCUAUAUCGGAAUAUCACUAAAAUAUUUCAAGAGGAGCAUCUUUUAAAUAGGAGUUAAUAUGAGCAUCACUUGGAUAAAAAAUUUGAUUUGGGCCUUCUAAUAUAAAAAAUGAGCCCAUCAAGAUAGUUCAAAUAUUUUUAAAAAUAAAUAAUUAAUUAAAAUCUUGUUUUAUUUUUCUAAUUUUUUCAAUUUCAAAUCGGAUUAUCGGAUCGGAUAUCCGAUAACAUAGCUAAUCGGAUUUGAAUUUAACAUUCAAAUAUUCGUUGGAUUAUUGGAUCGAUCGGAGCGGAUAAUUAUUCUUAACGGAUUUGAUCGGAUUUGAGCAGGUUCGAUCCGUUGGCAGUCCUAAUAGUUCAUCAAAUAUCCAUCAAAAUAAUUAUCCAAUAACAAUUACAUAUCUAAUAUAGCUAAUCGGAUUUGGAUUUAACAUUCAAGUAUCCAUCGGAUUAUUGGAUCGGAUCGGAGCGAAUAAUUAUUGUUAACUGAUCGGAUCAGAUUUGAGCAGGUCCGAUCCGUUGGCAGUCCUAAUAGUUCAUCAAAUAUCCAUCAAAAUAAUUAUCCAAUAACAAUUACAUAUCUAACAUAGCUAAUCGGAUUUGGAUUUAACAUUCAAGUAUCUGUCGGAUUAUUGGAUCGGAUCGGAGCGGAUAAUUAUUCUUUAUGGAUCGGAUCGGAUUUGAGCAGGUCCGAUCCGUUGGCAGUCCUAAUAGUUCAUCAAAUAUCCAUCAAAAUAAUUAUCCAAUAACAAUUACAUAUCUAACUACAAAGUUACAAUACUAAGGCAAAAAACGAUUGGCACUUGGCACAAACAAAAAUCUGUUGGCAGAAACUGUUGGAGGUUGCAAAAGAUGAAGAACUAAAUUAGAUUCGAAAUAUAACCCAUCAAGAGAAGGAAAACUACAUUGUAAACAGCCAUAUAUGCUUCAGCAAUCUGGUUUUAUCCAAUUGCUUAGUGAUAUCCCUUAGGUCAUUCAAAGAAUCCACACUUUGGCAGAGAAGUUGGCAAGCAUGAAACUGAAAUCAAAAUGCUCACCUCAGUAAUUUGAUUCCUAUAACCCAUAUUCUCUGUACCAACUAACCAUUAAAUAGCACACUGAACCCUAUUAAGACAGUAAUUUGAUUCCUAUAACCCAUAACUCCAUUAAUUCCUCACUGAUUUUUUAUAAAAAACCAAAAUAAUUGAAAUGCAAGUCAAUUCAUUUAUGGAACCAACAACAGAAAUUAUAUUCAGUAAGCACUAAAAGUAACAAAUCAAACAAAAAAAUGAAGAAAAAGGUAAAUAUUCUUGAUGGAUCAAGAUUUCAAGAAACUGAUUCAAAAGAACUUAAAUAUUCAUAUUAUUAAUUUGAACAUCACAUCAAGAAUUCACUAAUAAUAUAAUAAUCCUUGAGCCCAUUGCAUCAAAUGAAAGAAAAAUCAUUGCAAAUUAUUCUAAAGUUCCAGAAAUACAAGAAGAAUUAUUCCAAAAGGAAAAGAAGAUAAAAGAAAGUAGAAAAUUGAAAGAGAAAAUAAGCUAGAAUGAUGUCCAAAUUGCUAACUCUCUCCCUCUAUAGUUCUCUUCUUCGUCUCUUCAAGCUUGGACCACUCUAGCCACCACCUGUGCUAUGUACUUUACAGCUUGGAUAAAUCCCAAAGAGAAAGAUGACUUACCAUGUAAUAAAAUGAAGAUCGGCCGUCGGCAAGCAAAAAUGAACAUCGACCUUUGGCGUUGAAGAUUGACGGCAACUGAGGAGGACUAGGGCGGGAGAGCAAGGAAUGAAAGAAAAAAAAUUAGGGCUGCAGCUUCUUAACUCUUCUGUCUUCAUGCUUCAGUUUUUAAAUUGAGUAUUUUUUUUAUUUUUUACUAAUCGGGUCGAGGUGGGUUCGAUCGGGUUUUCUGGGUUAACCCAUCACCUGACCCGACUACUUUACUCACAAACCGAACCAGCUUAAAAAAUAAUAAUAAUAAAUUAAAAAAAAGACCCAACCGGGUCGGGUUUGGCGGGUUCGGUCGGGUUUUUCCCACCCCUACUUGUUAUAUCUAUAACUCAUGAACAUCCUGUUGUUUGUAUGGCUUGUAUGAUUCAUAUAUACUCUUUCAUUUCAUCAUGCUAACCUUACUGAAAGCUUUUGUCAAUUUCAAGUGCUAAUCUGAAGUUUCUGAUAGGCAUGUGCUAAAAGGAUCCAAGGUGAUGAAAGUGGGCACAAGCACUGUACUGGACAAUACUUUGAUUAUUGGCAGUGCGUUGACAAAUGUGUAAGGCCAUUUUCUUGUUUACAUUUAUUCCCUCGCCCCUCUUUCGGGUAUAUUUCAGUUUUAUGUUAAUAUUUUGUUCUGGUAGCUGCUGACAUCUAUCCUUUUAAUACGCAGGUUGCAACUAAGCUAUUUACAUAUCUUAAAUGACCGGGCAAGACCUCAAUGUUGUUCUGGCACCAGAAUACGUUUAGUCCAAAACCAAUUGGUUCAGUAUUAUUCUGUUUUUGUGAAAACUAUUUAUGCUUGUAUGCCUACUUAGAUAAAUGGCAUGUUGAACUAUGAAUUAUGAGCACUUCAUUGUGAUCAAUAAAAAAAAAAUUGUGGGAUUGAAUUUCAUUUGCUUUGGCAAUUAAUGAUGUAGCUUUUGUUCAACAAUUUCCUAUUUAGUGAUUUGGAAAAUUUUCGUUGUUAGCCUUAUCUGCAUACUAUUGCGAGAAUUUCCAUUGUUGCUCAUUUAUACGCUUUUAUCAUAGUAGUUGAGU
rnacentral:lncRNA from 1 species